AAGCUUAGUGGCGGACGGGUGAGUAACACGUGAGCAACCUGCCUAUCAGAGGGGGAUAACAGUUGGAAACGACUGCUAAUACCGCAUAACGUAACGGGACCGCAUGAUCCUGUUACCAAAGAUUUAUCGCUGAUAGAUGGGCUCGCGUCCGAUUAGAUAGUUGGUGAGGUAACGGCCCACCAAGUCGACGAUCGGUAGCCGGACUGAGAGGUCGAACGGCCACAUUGGGACUGAGACACGGCCCAGACUCCUACGGGAGGCAGCAGUGGGGGAUAUUGCACAAUGGGGGAAGCCCUGAUGCAGCGACGCCGCGUGAGGGAAGACGGUCCUCUGGAUUGUAAACCUCUGUCUUCAGGGACGAAACAAGACGGUACCUGAGGAGGAAGCCACGGCUAACUACGUGCCAGCAGCCGCGGUAAUACGUAGGUGGCAAGCGUUGUCCGGAAUUACUGGGUGUAAAGGGAGCGUAGGCGGGGGCGCAAGUCAGACGUUAAAUCCAUCGGCUCAACCGGUGGCUGCGUUUGAAACUGCAUCUCUUGAGUGAAGUAGAGGUUGGCGGAAUUCCUAGUGUAGCGGUGAAAUGCGUAGAUAUUAGGAGGAACACCAGUGGCGAAGGCGGCCAACUGGGCUUUUACUGACGCUGAGGCUCGAAAGUGUGGGGAGCAAACAGGAUUAGAUACCCUGGUAGUCCACACCGUAAACGAUGAUUACUAGGUGUGGGGGGACUGACCCCUUCCGUGCCGGAGUUAACACAAUAAGUAUUCCACCUGGGGAGUACGAUCGCAAGAUUGAAACUCAAAGGAAUUGACGGGGGCCCGCACAAGCAGU
rnacentral:rRNA from 1 species